ensembl:lncRNA
AUGGAGUGCAGAUGCAACAGUUGGGUAACUAGUGUGCAGGCAUACACGGGCAACAUUGCGGACACUGUUCAGGAAGCGAGAAUGCAGAGUUUCCUUGGUGAUGUCAAGCACUUCAGGGUUGUAGAUGCUGCCAUCAAACACCCGCUGAUGAUCAGCCCAGAGGAGAAGGGGGAGGUGUUCAGCAACGUGGCUUCACUGGCUCCCACUUUGUCUCCAGUCUUAAUGAGCUGCACAUCACUCAGGAUUUCAAUUGCGCCCCUGGAGAUUUUAGUGGUGAUGCCUAAAGCCUGGAAAAAGGAGGUCUUCUUGGGCCCCAGACCAGUGUUCUGGGCAAGCACAGUGACUUCACACAGGGCUAUGGCAGCAGCAUGGGCAGCAGCUGGCACCUUACUGGCCAGAAGCAUGUCCUGAACUCAGUGAGGUCCUCCUUGGUGAAUACAAAGCCCACGUUCCCCCGGAUGUGAGGCAACCGUUUCUCCAGGACUGGGUGGUUUUCGGAUGGCCUUGCAUGUGCAUCAUGGUGUUCUUGCCCAUCAGCACCACGGCCUUCCCGCGGAGGGACAUGUGGAUCUGCUGCAUCUGAUUGGAGCCCACAUUGUCUGCUCCCACAAUGAAGCAUUUCAGAUAAUCAUCCAGAAGUUGGAUUAUCUUAAGGAAGCAGUUGGACUUCCGGGUUGCCCCGUCUUCCCUGGGCAUCACGGCAGUGCGUCCGGAAUUGCCACGCAGGGUUUAAAGAUGAUGUCACUCACACGAGGACGCCUGGUGAGAGCUUAAAUUUCACUUGAGGAUAUCCCAGGAAUGGAAUUGGAUCUCAGGAUGGAUGAAUGUUUAACAUUUUUUUUUUUCCUUUUUAAGUCUGCACCCAUGGCAUAUGGAGGUUCCCAGGCUAGGGGUUGAAUCGGAGCUGUAGCGGCUGGCCCAAGCCACAGCCAUGACAAUGCAGGAUCUGAGCUGUGUCUGCAACCUACACUCAUGGCAAUGCCGGAUCCUUAACCCACUGAGCCAGGCCAGGGAUUGAACCCAUGUCCUCAUGGAUGCUAUUCGGAUUCUUUAACUGCUGAGCCACAGUGGGAACUCCUGAAUGUUUAACAUUUUAUGAAACUGCCAAACUGUUUCCAAAGUAGUUGUACUGUUUCAUGGUCCCACCAGAAUUGUAUGAGAGUGUUAGUGAUCCCACAUGUUUACCACCAUUUAGUGAUCACAGUCCUUAGAGCUUAGGCAUUCUAGUGUUAGUGAUAUCUCACUGUAGUUUUAAAAAAUAGCUUUAUUACGACAUAGUUCAGGGACUUCCUGUCAUGGCUCAGUGGUUAAUGAACCUGCCCAGGAUCCAUAAGGAUGUGGGUUCCAUCCCUGGCCUCACUCAAUGGGUUAAUGAUCUGGCAUUGCCGUGAGCUGUAGUGUAGGUCGUAGACACAGCUCUGAUCCCUCGUUGCUGUGGCUAUUGUAUAGGCUAGCAGCUACAGCUCCGAUUCAACCCCUAGCCUGGGAACAUCCAUAUGCUGCAUGUGUAGACCUAAAAACACACACACACACACACACAAAAAAAGUAUAGUUCACAUGGGAGUUCCCACUGUGGCUCAAUGGGUUAAGAACCUGACUAGUAUCCAUGGAGAAUGCGGGUUCAUUCCCUGGCCCCACUCAGUGGGUUAAGGAUCUGGUGUUGCCAUGAGCUGCAGUGUAGGUCACAGAUACAGUGCAGCCCUAAAAAGGAAAAAAAAGAAAGAAAAUGAACCUCAGGUUUUUAUGAUGGCUUUAUUUAUUUAUUUAUUUUUGUCUUUUUGUCUUUCUAGGGCUGCACUUGCAGCAUACAGAGGUUCCCAGGCUAGGGGUAGAAUUGGAACUAUAGCUGCUGGUCUACGCCAACAGCCACAGUAACGCCAGAUCCAAGCCUCAUCUGGGACCUACGCCACAGCUCAUGGCAAUGCCAGAUCCUUAACCCACUGAGGAAGGCCGGGGAUCGAACCUGCGUCAUCAUAAAUGCCAGUCAGGUUUGUUAACUGCUGAGCAACAACGGGAACUCCUAUGACGACUUUUUUUUUUUUUGUCUUUUUGCCUUUUCUAGGGCCGCUUCCCAUGGCAUGUGGAGGUUCCCAGGCUAGGGGUCAAAUCGGAGCCGUAGCCACCGGCCUAUGCCAGAGCCACAGCAACGCGGGAUCUGAGCUGCGUCUGCAACCUACACCACAGCUCACGGCAACGCCGGAUCCUGCACCCGCUGAGCCAGCCCAGGGAUCAAACCCAAAACCUCAUGGUUCCUAGUUGGAAUCGUUAACCACUCCACCACGACGGGAACUCCCCUAUGACAAUUUUUUUUAAAAAAAAUUAUUUUUUCCACAUAUGAAAGUACUCAAUCAUUAUAGAAAAAAUUACCAAAAAAAGCAAAAAAAAAAAAAAAAAAAAAAAAAAAAAAAAGGAUAUAGUUCACAUACCAUACAACUUAUCCAUUGAAAUUGUACAAUUUGGUGGCUUUUGGUAUAUUCACAAAGUUGUAUGUCCAAAAACACUAUCAAUUUUAGAACGUUUUCAUUAUCCCUAAAAGAAUCCUUGUACCCCUCAGCAAUCACAACCCCCCAACACACACAACCUCUGGAUUGCCCACUCCAAGCCUUAGGCAACUACUAAUCUGCUUUUGUUUCUAUAGAUUUCACGAUUCUGGACAGUUCAUAUAAGCAUCAUACAACAUGUGGUUCUUUGUUGAGUGGUAUCUUUCACUUAGUGUAUUUUCAAGUUUUUUUUAUGUCAUGGUGAAUACCAGCCCUUCAUUCUUUUUCUUUUCUUUUUUUUUUAACUGCUGAAUAAUAUUUCUCUUGUAAAAACAUUCUACAUCUUAUUUAUCCAUUAGUUGGCUGAUAGGCAUUUAGGUAGUUUCCACUUUUGGCUGUGAUGACUGAAGCUGCUAAGAAUAUCUGCACACAAGUUUUUGUGUGGGCAUAUAUUUUCAUUUCUCUUGGUUGUGAAAUGGCUGGAUUAAGUGGUAACUCCAUGUUUAAUCUGUUGUGCUGCCAAACCCUUUUAGAAAAGUGGCUGUACCAUUUUACAUUUCCAGCAGCAGUGUUCCAAUUUCUCCAUAUCCUCACCAACAACCUACUAUCUGUCUUGUUGAUACAGCUACCCUAAUAGGUAUCAAGUACCUAUUAGGUACUGCUGUGGCUGUGCUGCAGCUGUGGUGUAGGCCAGCAGCUGCAGUUCCGAUAUGACCCCUAGCCUAAGAGCUUCCACAUGCCAGGGGUGCGGCCCUAAUAAAAAAAAAAAAAUAGUUCCUUUUGGUAUCAGAGGAUAUUAACUUUCAUGAAGUCUAAAUUAUCCAUUCCCCCCCCCCCAUGGUCAAUACUUUUUGAGUCCUGUCCAAACAACCUUUUCUCACCUCAAGGUCACAAAGAUAUUUUCCUCUGUUUUAUAUAGAAACUUUACAGUUGUGGGUUUUACAUUUAGCUCUCUGAUGCCUCUCAAAUUAAUUUUGUAUGUGAAGUGAGGGUGAAGUUCAUUUAUUCUAUGUGGAUAUCCAGUUGUGCCAGCAAUAUUUGUUACAGGCACUUGCUCCUCCACAUUGUAUUGACCUGGGAACUUCGUAAAAAGUAAGCUGACCGUAUAGGUGUUGGAGGAUUUCUAAAAUUUGUAAUUUGUUUCACUGAUCUAUUUGUCUCUACCUUUUCUAACUCCACACUCUCUUAACUACUCUAGACUUAGAGUAAUUCCUAAUUAAAAUAGUUUAAUUCCUCCAAAUUUGUUCUUCUUUUCCAAAAUUGUUUUUUGGCUAUUCUAGACCCUUUGAAUUUCCACUUAAAUUUUAGAAUCUGCUUGUCUAUUUCCUCAAAGAAAUCUGUUGGAUUUCUAUAGUGAUUAAAUUAAUCUAUAGAUCAACACUGAGUCUGUCCAUUUAUGAACACAGAAUAUAACAAAUUCUUUUUUUCUCUCUAUUUAAGAGUUUUAAAGUUUUUCUCAGCAUUGUUUUGAUACUUUCAGUGUAGCUAUCCUAUAAACAUUUAGAUUUAUUCUUUGUGACAUUUUUGAUGUUCUUUUAAUUUUUGUUUUUUUAGGGCCGCACCUGUGGCACAUGAAGUUCCUGGGCCAGGGGUCGAAUCAGAGCCAAAGCUACCAGCCUAUACCACCACCAUAGCAACGCCAGGUCUGGACCGCAUCUGUGAUGUACGCCGGAGCUCGUGACAAUGCCAGAUCCUUAACCCACUGAGCAAGGCCAGCAUGUAACCCACAACCUCGUGGACACUAGUCAAGUUCUUAACCCGCUGAGCCACAAGGAGAACUCCAUUUUUGAUGCUAUUUUAAACAGUAUAUUUUAAAUUUCAUUCUGCAAUUGUUUUUUAAUAGAAUAUAGGACAGAAUAAUUUUUUUAUACUGGUUUCUAUCUUGACCUUUCUAAAUUCACUUACCAAUUUUGGCACUUUUUUGGUGGUAGAUUCUGUACAUUUUUCAUACACACAGUUAUGUCUUCUGCAAAUAAUAACAGUUUCUUUCUUCUUUUCCUAUCUUUAUAUCUUUCAUUUCUUUUUUCCUGUCCAUCAUGCAACCUAGGAUUUCUAGCACAAUGUUGACUAGAAAUGGUAGACGAUUAUAUGCUUGCCUGUUCUCUUAAGGGGAAAUUUUUUUUUUUUUUUUUUUUUUUUUUUUUUUUUUGGUCUUUUUAAGCCUGCCCCCAUGGCUAGGAACUGUAGCUGCUGGCCUAUGCCACAGCCACAGCAACACUGGAUCCGAACUGUAUCUGUGACCUACACCACAGCUCAUGGCUAUGCCAGAUCCUUAACCCAAUGAGCGAGGCCAGGGAUCGAACCCUCGACCUCACGGUUCCUAGUCGGAUUCGUCUCCGCUGCGCCACAACGGGAACUCCCACGACUAAUGAUUAAGUAAAAUGAUUCUUGUGGACUGACUUGCCUAAUAAUUCUAUAGCUGAUAGCUAUUUUUGUCCCACUUACAAGUCCUUUUGCCUGCUUCUGGAUGAAGGCACACGCUGCGCUUCCUCCCUUUUCUCAUGAAAGCCAUUCCAAA